rnacentral:rRNA from 1 species
CGGAGGAUCCAAGCGUUAUCCGGAAUCAUUGGGUUUAAAGGGUCCGUAGGCGGGACAAUAAGUCAGCGGUGAAAGUCUGUGGCUCAACCAUAGAAUUGCCAUUGAUACUGUUGUUCUUGAGUGUUUAUGAAGUGGUUGGAAUAUGUAGUGUAGCGGUGAAAUGCAUAGAUAUUACAUAGAACACCGAUUGCGAAGGCAGAUCACUAAUAAAAUACUGACGCUGAUGGACGAAAGCGUAGGUAGCGAACAGGAUU